GAAGGGCUGAUCUCUGCUGGAGUAAGAACAAGAGAAAUUUCAACCCGAGAAGAAUUUCCAUCAUGCUCUGUGCCGGCCUGCUGUGGGCAUGGAUGGCUUCCUUUGGCUUCAGACCCAACAUGGCUGCAGAAGUACCCAAGCUCAGACCACAAUCACAGCGCAGGAAGGAAAGGCUGUGACCAUGGACUGCACGUAUGAAACCUCAAGUACAGCUUAUACUUUGUACUGGUACAAACAGCCUCUCAGUGGAGGAAUAACUUUCCUUAUUUAUCAGGACGAUAAUAAGCCAAAUGCAAGGAAGGAUCGCUUCUCUGUGAACUUUCAAAAGGAAAAAAAAUCUAUCAGCUUCACAAUCUCUUCCUUACAACUGGCCGACUCAGCGCGGUACUUCUGUGCUUUCCACAGUAAUAGAAAUGACAGAAGAAGGUAAUCAAAAACCUUAGAGCUCCAUAAAGGCAACCACCUGCUCCGAGGCUUAGGAAAAUCCCAUGAACCACAGACAGGAAGAAGGCAGGCACUGUGGUAGCUCAGCUGAGACCUUCUCAUGUAAGUUUUCCUUCUGUAAAAAUGUCUCCAUAUUCAAGUUUAGUGUAUGAAAGAGCAUUAUUCCCUGAGAUUCCAGUAUCAUGUGUUAA